CCGUGAGGGGGAUGAUGUAUUACUAUGAAGCUCUCAAGAUGCUGACUUUUCUUGAAUCCGCAUCUGAGCGUCGAUUGAUUACUG
rnacentral:snoRNA from 3 species